rnacentral:lncRNA from 1 species
CUAAUUUGGAUCUAGUCAUAAUAUAGGCAAUGGUUUGAUGCAUUGUGUAUAUUUUCCUUCUGCAUAUUUUCUACCCCUAGGUUCUGGCUCAUGGGAUGAUGAAGAUAUGAAAAUUUGACUAUGGCACUGACAAGCCCAGAUGGCACCUCCAGGAGCUCCCCAUGCCCUCCUCUCGUGGUGACUCACGCCUGUAAUCCUAGCACUUUGGGAGAUUGAGCAGGUGGAUCACUUCAGUUCAGGAGUUCGAGACCAGCCUACACAGCAUGGUAAAACUCCUUCUCUACAAAAAAAUACAAAAAUUAGUUGGGCAUGGUGGUGCAUGCCUGUAGUCCCAGCUACUUGGGAGGCUGAAGUGCGAGGAUCACCUGAGCCGGGGAGGUCAAGGCUGUGGUGAGCCAUGAUUGUGCCACUACAC